rnacentral:lncRNA from 1 species
AUUCUCUCUUUUUUCUAAAAAAAAAAAUAGCAGUGGAGGUGGAGGAGGAGGGGGAGGAGGAGGAGGAGGAGGAGGAGGAGGAGGAACUGGCCGUCGCCGUGAUUCCUAUUACGACAGAGGAUAUGACAGAGGAUAUGACAGAUAUGAAGAAUAUGAUUAUCGCUACAGGAGGCGAUCACCGUCACCAUAUUAUAGUCGUUACAGAUCAAGAUCAAGAUCUCGUUCCUACAGUCCAAGACGUUAUUAAGAAGAGAAGUUAGUUACAGAGCAAAUACCAUUUUUCAACAGCAUGUUCCGAUCCUAGCUUUUCCUGUUGGUUCCCUGCCAUUAUCCUGUAUCUAAUUAAAAUGUUCCUGGUUAAGAUGUAUUUUCUUUUGAAAUACCCAUUUUCAACUCUUCUUACUGUAAUAUUCCAGGUGUAAUUGUUGUAGUUUUAUGUACUUAAAUAUCUUUAAACAAAAAUUAAUGGGAAUCUAAGAGUGGUAAAAUAUUUUGUAAUUCAUGCAUUUGUUUUUUAAACAAGUGGAUUUUUGUUGACUCUCAUGGAGAAAGAACAUGUGCUAAUGCCUGCAUGUCAUAUUUUCAAUAAAACUCUCAUCUUUAUGGUUUAAAAAAAUCCUCUUGUCCAGUUUGUUUCAUUUUUGUUCACAAUUUUGUUUUGUAAUCUGAAGCCAGAAUUUUCCUGUAUUUUCAUUUUAAUAAUUAAAACAAUAUUGGACUGGAAUCCCUCUGAGGGGAGAAGAAAAACUUCUACCCGACACACUUUCUUUAAUGGGCUUUUGUAAAAUAAUCCCAGUGCUGCUGACAGGAAAAUAAAAUUUGUUUUAAAUACCAGGCUGACCCGCAAAGUAUUCCUCCUAUUUUUAUUAUCCCAUAAUCAGGAUAAGCCUAACUGAGUGAAUAAGAAAUAUUUGAUUUGUUCACACACCUCUGUAUGAAACAAAUUAAGAUGAAGCAGGUUCUAUUUAGUAGUAUUAUCUGAAAUUGUAAUUAUUUGACUUCUCAAAAUAAAUUUAAAUUGUACAAAUGCAGUUGUUCAGUAUUUAUAUCAUUUGUUAAGAAUUUUUAGAUUUAAAACU